CACUCGUGUAAGUCAUGAUGGGUCGACGC
rnacentral:sRNA from 1 species